GUUUUAUUUUAAAAAAAAAAACAUAGUUUACAGAAGGUCUACCUAUCUAUAGGCUACCUGAAUUUCUGAAAUGUACUGUAUUUCUAAAUAUGCUAUUGCUACACUUAAUGGCAAACAUUGCACUGGUCUGCUGGACUGAAACAAAUAAACAAUAUUUUGUUGAUUAAGCUUAUGUAUUCAGUCAUUAUUCAAUGGUAUACUAAAAAUCCAUGUGAAAAAAAUUACUUCUCACUGUUCUCAGGUCAAAUAUUUAUAUGCAAUUAAAAUGCAAUUAAUUUCGAUUAAUUAAUUAUAAAGCCUCUAAUUUAUUAGAUUAAUUUUUUUAAUCGAGUCCCGGCCCUAGAAAUAACUAUUGUUUCCAGUACAAUUUUGAAGAUGUGAGGAAAAGUUUGGUGUUUCAGCAGCCGGUAUCAUGAUUUAA